rnacentral:rRNA from 1 species
CACGGGAUGCCUCAGUACGGCGAGUGAAGCGGCAACAGCUCAAAUUUGAAAUCUGAAGUCUUCGGCUUCCGAGUUGUAAUUUGUAGAGGAUGCUUCGGUUGCGGCCCCGGCCUAAUUUCCUUGACACACGACUUAGGAGAGGGUGAGAAUC